UCUUAUCUUCUUAACUUCUUAUGUCUUUCGAGUUCUACUGUCGCAUACAAAGAAAUUUUUUUUUACGUUAGCUUUUUUAAAUAUUAUUAUAAAUAUCCGACAAAAGAACUCCAGCAUGACAGUAGAACUCCACUACGCGACAAAAGAACUCCAAUAACUUCUUGAAUAAAUUCUUUAAUUAUUUUCAUGUCCGACAGUAGAACUCUAUUGAAUUUUAAAUAUCUCAAAUGUCCGACAAUCCAUCCAUCCUUGAUUCCUUUCCGUACAGUCAAACGUGGUAAUCGUGGAGGAAUCUUUUGGCUCCGUCAGUAGGUGGCUAAAAUCAAGUUGUCCCCCAGCCGCCAGAUGACGCGGGUGUAUUUAAGAGGACGAAAUUUUCGCCAUAUUGAUCCGAAACGCCAAGUGAAAAGGUAUUCCAAAUUCGUUACGGAAUUGCGGUGUCGAUCUACAUUUUCAGAAUUGAAAUUUUAUGGUAAUCUGGCAUAUAAUUUCCUCUUGGCCAAAUAAUCGAUCACGUGGACUGAAACUGCUUUCCAUAUGGCCAAAAUGUCGUCCGUUGUUAGCUGUACCUGUUCGGAUGUACGUCUCAUCUCACGCAGAAACACUACAGAGUUGGAGAUCCCGUUGCUUAACUGUUGCAGAAUGUGAGAACUCAACAAAUUCUAAGCUCAUGGCUGGCAUCAUGGCCACAGUGGUUUUGUUGCAGCCAGCUGGUGAAAGGUGUGAUCGAGUCAAGUUGAGCUGCAGCUGCUGCAUGCAGUUUAUCAAGUUGGUGUUAUCCUGAAGUGUCAUUGCAGGAAAACUUAUUUAAAUGGACUUGGUGAUACUUAACCUAUGCCUGUGCUGUUCAAUGUGCAGUGGUUUUGCAGCCUGUUUCCAGUUGAGAGAUGUGAUUAUGCAGCUGAUACAGGAUUGAAGAAAAAGAACUGAAGUAGCUGUGCUGGUGUUCUUCUGAAAUUGCUGUGCCAC